GGACGGAUUUAAAAAUGAAGAUCCUGCGCAGGGCUGAU
rnacentral:snoRNA from 2 species